rnacentral:rRNA from 1 species
GUCCAGACUCCUACGGGAGGCAGCAGUGGGGAAUAUUGCACAAUGGGGGAAACCCUGAUGCAGCGACGCCGCGUGAGUGAAGAAGUAUUUCGGUAUGUAAAGCUCUAUCAGCAGGGAAGAAGAAGGACGGUACCUGACUAAGAAGCCCCGGCUAACUACGUGCCAGCAGCCGCGGUAAUACGUAGGGGGCAAGCGUUAUCCGGAUUUACUGGGUGUAAAGGGGGCGCAGACGGCAGCGCAAGCCAGGAGUGAAAGCCCGGGGCCCAACCCCGGGACUGCUCUUGGAACUGCGCGGCUGGAGUGCAGGAGGGGCAGGCGGAAUUCCUGGUGUAGCGGUGAAAUGCGUAGAUAUUAGGAGGAACACCAGUGGCGAAGGCGUCUUACUGGACCGAAACUGACGUUGAGGCUCGAAAGCGUGGGGAGCAAACAGGAUUAGAUACCCGCGUAA